AUGAAAAUGAGAAAAUUAGGGUUGAGUUUGGGUAUGACGAUUAGGCUUCUAGGAGAACUCAGAGUUCUUUUUCCUCCUUUUCAUCGACAGUGCACGAUCCCUCUCCUUCCUCCACUCCUCUUCUACUUCUAUUCAAGUCUCAACCUUCAUCUUGCUGCUUUUAUUUCACUCGGGAAAUUCGUAGAAUCUGAAACUGAUGAUAAUGUUGAAGUUUGA